UACGUAGGUGGCGAGCGUUGUCCGGAUUUACUGGGCGUAAAGGGAGCGUAGGCGGACUUUUAAGUGAGAUGUGAAAUACCCGGGCUCAACUUGGGUGCUGCAUUUCAAACUGGAAGUCUAGAGUGCAGGAGAGGAGAAUGGAAUUCCUAGUGUAGCGGUGAAAUGCGUAGAGAUUAGGAAGAACACCAGUGGCGAAGGCGAUUCUCUGGACUGUAACUGACGCUGAGGCUCGAAAGCGUGAAAAACAACAGGAUUAGAUACCCUGGUA
rnacentral:rRNA from 1 species